rnacentral:rRNA from 1 species
UACGUAGGGCGCAAGCGUUGUCCGGAAUUAUUGGGCGUAAAGAGCUCGUAGGCGGCCAGUUGCGUCUGCUGUGAAAUCCCGGGGCUCAACCCCGGGCGUGCAGUGGAUACGGGCUGGCUAGAGGCAGGCAGGGGAGAACGGAAUUCCCGGUGUAGCGGUGAAAUGCGCAGAUAUCGGGAGGAACACCGGUGGCGAAGGCGGUUCUCUGGGCAUUAACUGACGCUGAGGAGCGAAAGCAUGGGGAGCGAACAGG